rnacentral:rRNA from 1 species
GACAGAGGGUGCAAACGUUGUUCGGAAUUACUGGGCGUAAAGCGUGUGUAGGCGGCCUUGCAAGUCGGAUGUGAAAGCCCCGGGCUCAACCUGGGAAUGGCGAUGGAUACUGGCUCGCUAGAGUGCGGUAGAGGAGAGUGGAAUUCCCGGUGUAGCAGUGAAAUGCGUAGAGAUCGGGAGGAACAUCAGUUGCGAAGGCGGCUCUCUGGACCAGCACUGACACUGAGGCACGAAAGCGUGGGGAGCAAACAGG